rnacentral:lncRNA from 1 species
AGGUAUGAGCUAUACCCUUUUGUUAGGAGUUAAACAUUUUGGCUCCGACUGGUGACCUUUUCGGGAACACGAGGAACGAAUAGGAAAGGAAUGUAUAGGAAUAAAAUUGAAGGAAUGAAAAGGAAUGCUUGUUCCUUAUCAAAUUUAACAAGGAAUGUUUUUGUUCUAUAUUUCUCUACAAAAAAAGGAAUGGAGAGGAACAAGAAGGAAAAACUAUUCCUUGUGAAUGGUGAUUUUUUUUGGGAAUGAUAAGGAAUUCAAUGUUCCCCUUCGUUCCUUGGUCACCAUUCAAAGCCUUUUAACUUAUGUAUUAGUUAUAUUUGCUUUCUUUUUUUUUGCUGGAAUGUAAUAUCCAUAAAUAAAAAGAGUAUUUACAGAAAC